UUUGGAAUGAUUCUUUCGGGAUGAAUUCUAAAGAGGAAAGUGGCGGACGGGCGAGUAACGCGUGAGUAACCUGCCCAUAAGAGGGGGAUAAUCCAUGGAAACGUGGACUAAUACCGCAUAUUGUAGUUAAGUUGCAUGACUUGAUUAUGAAAGAUUUAUCGCUUAUGGAUGGACUCGCGUCAGAUUAGAUAGUUGGUGAGGUAACGGCUCACCAAGUCAACGAUCUGUAGCCGAACUGAGAGGUUGAUCGGCCGCAUUGGGACUGAGACACGGCCCAGACUCCUACGGGAGGCAGCAGUGGGGAAUAUUGCGCAAUGGGGGCAACCCUGACGCAGCAACGCCGCGUGCAGGAAGAAGGUCUUCGGAUUGUAAACUGUUGUCGCAAGGGAAGAAGACAGUGACGGUACCUUGUGAGAAAGUCACGGCUAACUACGUGCCAGCAGCCGCGGUAAUACGUAGGUGACAAGCGUUGUCCGGAUUUACUGGGUGUAAAGGGCGCGUAGGCGGACUGUCAAGUCAGUCGUGAAAUACCGGGGCUUAACCCCGGGGCUGCGAUUGAAACUGACAGCCUUGAGUAUCGGAGAGGAAAGCGGAAUUCCUAGUGUAGCGGUGAAAUGCGUAGAUAUUAGGGGGAACACCAGUGGCGAAGGCGGCUUUCUGGACGACAACUGACGCUGAGGCGCGAAAGUGUGGGGAGCAAACAGGAUUAGAUACCCUGGUAGUCCACACCGUAAACGAUGGAUACUAGGUGUAGGAGGUAUCGACCCCUUCUGUGCCGCAGUUAACACAAUAAGUAUCCCACCUGGGGAGUACGACCGCA
rnacentral:rRNA from 1 species